UACGUAGGGGGCAAGCGUUGUCCGGAUUUAUUGGGCGUAAAGAGCGUGUAGGCGGCUAGGUAGGUCCGUUGUGAAAACUCGAGGCUCAACCUCGAGACGUCGAUGGAAACCAUCUAGCUAGAGUCCGGAAGAGGAGAGUGGAAUUCCUGGUGUAGCGGUGAAAUGCGCAGAUAUCAGGAAGAACACCCGUGGCGAAGGCGGCUCUCUGGUGCGUGACUGACGCUGAGACGCGAAAGCGUGGGGAGCGAACAGG
rnacentral:rRNA from 1 species